UGAGGAACAUGACCUUCGGCGGGGGAUAGCCGGCCCAACGGCCGGGUAAUACCGCGUACGACCACAUGGGGACAUCCCUGAGUGGUGAAAGCAGCAAUGCGCCGAUGGAGUGCCUCGCGGCCUAUCAGCUAGUUGGGUGGGGUAACGGCUCACCAAGGCAACGACGGGUAGCUGGUCUGAGAGGAUGGCCAGCCACAGUUGGGACUGAGAUACCGGCCCAGACCUCCGUAGGG
rnacentral:rRNA from 1 species